GGUUAAGUGACUAAGCGUACACGGUGGAUGCCUGGGCAGUCAGAGGCGAUGAAGGACGUACUAACUUGCGAUAAGCGCAGAUAAGGCAGUAAGAGCCGUUUGAGUCUGCGAUUUCCGAAUGGGGAAACCCAACUGCAUAAGCAGUUACUGUUAACUGAAUACAUAGGUUAACAGAGCAAACCGGGGGAACUGAAACAUCUAAGUACCCCGAGGAGAAGAAAUCAACCGAGAUUCCGGUAGUAGCGGCGAGCGAACCUGGAUUAGCCCUUAAGCACUCGGUGAAGUAGGUGAACAAGCUGGAAAGCUUGGCGAUACAGGGUGAUAGCCCCGUAACCGACGCUUCAUCGAGCGUGAAAUCGAGUAGGGCGGGACACGUGAUAUCCUGUCUGAAUA
rnacentral:rRNA from 1 species